rnacentral:misc_RNA from 1 species
UUUCCGUAGGUGAACCUGCGGAAGGAUCAUUAACGAGUAAGGGUCAUUCUGGCCCGAACUCCAACCCUUUGUUUAAUUAUUAGGUUGCUUGGGCGGGCCUGUUUCACGACCGCAGAAAAUCCUCGGACUUCACGCCCGUGCCCGCCAAUAGCCUUCUACAAACUCUUGAUCAAUUGUGAUGUCUGAGUAAUAAAUUUAAUAGUUAAAACUUUCGACAACGGAUCUCUUGGUUCUG